CUAAUGUGCUAUAAUCGCAAUUUCAGAGAGCCGAAACUUGUUAGAAAUAAUAUAAAAAGCAAGUAUUUUUCCGACCAAAGCAUCUUCAGCUGCCAUGGCGACGGUACGAAUGAUAGACAUAGCCGUAAAUUUUACUGAUAGCAUGUUCAAAGGGAUAUACAAUGGGAAGCAAUAUCAUAUGGGGGACAUUCAAGCUGUGCUGAAGAGGGCAUGGAGCGCUGGAGUUGAUCGCAUAAUUGUAACUGGUGGCUCUCUUGAAGAAUCAAAAGAAGCUCUUGCAAUUGCGGAAACAGAUGCAAGACUUUUCUGUACUGUGGGUGUGCACCCGACAAGAUGCAAAGAAUUUGAAGAUAGUGGGGAUCCAGAAAAGCAUUUGCAGGAUCUUUUGACAUUGGCUAAAGAGGGAAUAGAAAAAGGAAAAGUGGUUGCGAUUGGUGAAUGUGGGCUGGACUAUGAUAGACUUCACUUUUGUCCAUCUGAUACUCAAAAGAAGUACUUUGAGAAGCAGUUUGAGUUAGCAUAUAGAAUGAAACUGCCAAUGUUUCUUCACAUGCGAGCAGCUGCUCAGGAUUUUCGCGACAUUCUUGAGCGAAAUAAGGAUCGGUUUGUUGCUGGUGUUGCGCACUCUUUCACUGGAAGUGCUGAAGAUCGUGAUAAACUUCUUUCAUUUAGUAAUGUUUUUAUAGGUGUAAAUGGUUGCUCUCUCAAGACAGCUGAGAACCUUGAAGUCGUAAAGGGUAUACCAGUUGAGCGAAUGAUGAUUGAAACGGAUUCACCAUACUGUGAUAUCAAGAAUUCACAUGCUGGGAUACAUUUUGUGAAAUCCUCGUGGCCUUCAAAGAAAAAGGAGAGGCAUGAUCAAGAAUGCCUUGUCAAAGGUCGCAAUGAGCCUUGCUUAGUUCGGAAAAAGUAACUUUACAGUUGGCAAAGGAUGCAAACUUGGAGGAAACAGAGAAGCUAGAAGAACUAUCAUUGCUACACAUACCACUGAACUUCAAAUUGGCAAGUGCUUGAAGUUGUUGCAGGCACUAAAGGCAUCACUAACAUAGACCAACUGGGCAAGACACUGUACCACAAUACUUGCAGGGUUUUCUUUCCUCAUGAUUUGGAUUCGGCAGCAGAAGCUCUUCUUGCUAGUGGCAGGGAAGCUAUAUGAAAGAAGUCAUGAGUUCAAGAGAAAAGGCAGCACUCUGAGCAGCGCUCUGCUAGUCAGAGCGUUUAUCCUCUCAAAGUCAUCAUGUGUGUACGAGAAUUGUAUGCUAGAAAACAAAGGGUGGAACAUUUACAUUUUUCUGUCACUCAUAUAUUGUUUUUUGGUAACUAAAUUUUUUCAUUAAUCACCAGUGAAAGACAUUACAGCGCA